AGUGAACGCUGGCGGUAGGCCUAACACAUGCAAGUCGAACGGCAGCACAGUAAGAGCUUGCUCUUACGGGUGGCGAGUGGCGGACGGGUGAGGAAUACAUCGGAAUCUACUUUUUCGUGGGGGAUAACGUAGGGAAACUUACGCUAAUACCGCAUACGACCUACGGGUGAAAGCAGGGGAUCUUCGGACCUUGCGCGAUUGAAUGAGCCGAUGUCGGAUUAGCUAGUUGGCGGGGUAAAGGCCCACCAAGGCGACGAUCCGUAGCUGGUCUGAGAGGAUGAUCAGCCACACUGGAACUGAGACACGGUCCAGACUCCGACGGGAGGCAGCAGUGGGGAAUAUUGGGCAAUGGGCGCAAGCCUGAUCCAGCCAUACCGCGUGGGUGAAGAAGGCCUUCGGGUUGUAAAGCCCUUUUGUUGGGAAAGAAAAGCAGCAGGUUAAUACCCCGCUGUUCUGACGGUACCCAAAGAAUAAGCACCGGCUAACUUCGUG
rnacentral:rRNA from 1 species